ensembl:lncRNA
GAGAGGGUUAGACAGAGAGGGUUAGGGUAAGACAGAGAGGGUUAGGGUAAGACAGAGAGGGUUAGAGUAAGACAGAGAGGGUUAGGGUAAGACAGAGAGGGUUAGAGACAGAGAGGGUUAGAGUCAGAGAGGGUUAGAGUCAGAGAGGGUUAGAGACAGAGAGGGUUAGAGACAGAGAGGGUUAGAGUCAGAGAGGGUUAGAGUCAGAGAGGGUUAGAGUCAGAGCGGGUUAGAGACAGAGAGGGUUAGAGACAGAGAGGGUUAGUGUAAGACAGAGAGGGUUAGAGACAGAGAGGGUUAGAGACAGAGAGGGUUAGGGUAAGACAGAGAGGGUUAGAGACAGAGAGGGUUAGAGUGCUUCUACACCUGCAUUGCUUGCUGUUUGGGGUUUUAGGCUGGGUUUCUGUACAGCACUUUGAGAUAUCAGCUGAUGUACGAAGGGCUAUAUAAAUAAAUUUGAUUUGAUUUUGAUUUGAUUUGAUAGAGUCAGAAAGGGUUAGAGACAGAGGGUUAGAGACAGAGAGGGUUAGAGACAGAGAGGGUUAGGGUAAGACAGAGAGGGUUAGGGUAAGACAGAGAGGGUUAGAGACAGAGAGGGUUAGAGACAGAGAGGGUUAGAGUCAGAGAGGGUUAGAGUCAGAGAGGGUUAGAGACAGAGAGGGUUAGAGACAGAGAGGGUUAGAGACAGAGAGGGUUAGAGACAGAGAGGGUUAGAGACGGAGAGGGUUAGAGUCAGAGAGGGUUAGAGACAGAGAGGGUUAGGGUUAGAGACCGUUUUUAUUUUAAUUAAAAAAUGUAUUAUUUAUUUAUCCAGGUUAGUGUUAUUGAGAUAAAAUCUAUUUUUCAAGAGAGACCUGGUCCAACCAAGACAGCAUCAGGAGUAACAACAUUUGAGACAAAUAUCAGACAUAGGGCUCUAUUUUCGGCUGGUGUUUCCGGUGAUAUUGUCAAACGCACUUUAGUUUGCAAUUUGGGCAUGUAAAUACAUUCGCACUGGCACUUUCCAGCCCAGGUUCAGCAAUAUGCCUGUCUUAUAUCAGCUUGACCUGCGCUCAGAUGGGAGGGGUGGAAAUAUUUGAGAUGUGUCCUUAAAAACAUGAUCCAAAGUGCUAAUUUCAGGCAGCACUUACAGGGCUUUUUAAAACCAACCAAAAGCUGGUUCUAGUGGCAACAGUUGGUUAUGUCAUAAAUUUUGACAGCGGAAACGAAUCCAGGCAGAAUCACAGCCGACCGUGAUUGGGAGUCCCAUAGGGCGCACAAUUGGCCCAGCGUCGUCCGGGUUUGGCCGGGGUAGGCGGUCAUUGUAAAUGAGAAUUUGUUCUUAACUGAGUUGCCUAGUUAAAUAAAGGUUAAAUUAAAACAAUUAGAAAAUACAUUAAAACAUACUAUCCAGCUGUGAUGCACAAUGCCCAUAUGAAGAUGGAACAAGAGUAGACUAAUGUGCUUUUGGUGCAUGUAUACUUCGUAUUUCGAAACAUUUUUUUUAAAUCAUGUUUUUUACCAUUUUGAUUUUAACCCAAGCAUAGACUCCCGUCUUCUCAAUGAAGGCCUUUUUGUCUGCCCAAAGCAAUUGCGAAGUAGUCAAGACUGUUGAUAAAGCGUUUGUCUCCUGAGACAAAUGUAAAUAAAUCUUCAUCACCAUUCAAAUAUAAAAGUGAUUUGAUAUUCCCUUUUUAUCUAUGCAUUGUAGGCAGGCCCACAUUAUUUUAGCCAUGCAGGUCCUGUUUUGGACAAGCAUAAAACCCUCUCUAUGUCCAGCUAUGGUGAUAAGUUUGGAUGUGCGUAAAACCCUUCAUAGCUGUUUUAAUAUUAUAAAGCCAGGUGGAGAAAUGAUGGUGCCUGUAAGUGUGUUUAAAACUAGUUGUUUAGUUUGGUUAACAAUUUGAUUCGAAUUACUCGCUCUCUUUUUGCUUAUUGACAACAUUUUGCAUGUCCAUGCUGAGCCAUAAUGCAAUUUACAGUGGGCCUAGCCUCUAUAUCAGUGCAAAUUCUAUGUAUAUAUUUCCACAUUGAAGACAUGAUUACAUAGAACAAUGUGGACUGAAAACAGGUUCAAGUCAACAUAUUAAGGAAAUAUAGAUCUACAUUUUGUUUCUGUAAGCCAAUUAACAAACUAUAAUGGACUAACAUUGGAUUUGGAGUUGAUUCCAAGGCAAUACAUACAAGACUGAAAAUACACAACUUGAAGCAACCAUCAUGUUUCACCUUGGAGCACAUCCUCACUGGCCAGUGAGGGCCAAGCCUGGACACACCCACAACUUUUUAACAUUUUAUUUCCCCUUUAUUUAACCAGGUAGGCCAGUUGAGAACAAGUUCUCAUUUACAACUGUGACCUGACCAAGACAAAGCAAAGCAGUGAGACACAAACAACACAGAGUUACACAUGGAAUAAACAUACAGUCAAUAAUACAAUAGAAAAAGUCUAUAUACAGUGUGUGCAAAUGAGGUAGGAUAAGGGAGGAAAGGAAAUAAACAGGCCGUAAUGGUGAAAUAUUUACAAUAUAGCAAUUAAACACUGGAGUGAUAGAUGUGCAGAGGAUGAAUGUGCAAGUAGAGAUACUGGGGUGCAAAGGAGCAAGAUAAAUAAUAGUAUGGGGAUAAGGUAGUUGGAUGGGCUAUGUACAGAUGCAGUGAUCUGUAAAUACCUAGGUCUCUGGCUAGACUAUAAACUCUCCUUCCAGGCUCAUAUUAAACAUCUCCAAUCCAAAAUUAAAUCUAGAAUCGGCAUUCUAUUUCACAACAAAGCCUCCUUCACUCACGCUGCCAAACAUACCCUUGUAAAACUGACUAUCCUACCGAUCCUCGACUUCGGCUAUGUAAUUUACAAAAUAGCCUCCAACACUCUACUCAGCAAACUGGAUGCAGUCUAUCACAGUGCCAUCCGUUUAGUCACCAAAGCCCCAUAUACUACCC